rnacentral:rRNA from 1 species
AUUGAACGCUGGCGGCAGGCCUAACACAUGCAAGUCGAGCGAGCGGCGGCCGGGUGAGUAAUGUAUGGGGAUCUGCCCGAUAGAGGGGGAUAACUACUGGAAACGGUGGCUAAUACCGCAUACUAUCGGAUGCACCCCUAUGGGAUUAGCUAGUAGGUGGGGUAAAGGCUCACCUAGGCGACGAUCACUAGCUGGUCUGAGAGGAUGAUCAGCCACACGGGGACGUAGACACGGCCCAGAAUCCUACGGGAGGCAGCAGGGGGGAAUAUGGCACAAGGGACGUAAGCCGGAUGCAGACAUGCGGCGGGUAUGAAGAAGGCCUUAGGGUUGUAAAGUACUUUCAGCGGGGAGGCGUUACCCGAAGAAGAAGCACCGGCUAACUCCGGGCCAGCCGCCGCGGUAAUAC